GGGGAAAAGAAGAAACAAAGGGGAAAAUUUCAUAAGUUAGACAGGAAAAAAGAGAACUUAAGAAAACUCUCUUUGCUAAGAGAAUGGAAGAAUGGAGAGCAGAAGCCCAUGGUGUCCUGAGAAAGUGACCUGCUGGGGACAGAAAAUGUGGUGGAGGACCUUGAAAGCAAAAUCAUGAAGGGAAAUGUGCUUUGUCCCAGUGGCAGAAGUCACAACCCAGCCUCUUCUGUUACUGAAUUUAUUGGACUCAGUGCAGCUGCCACAUAACCAGGUGAAUUUUGACAUCUUCUUGUACCCAUGGCUGGAGGAAGACUUGAGAUACCUAACCAAGUACUGUUUGGCAUUUGUGUAUUUUUAGCUUGCAUUCAAGGGAGGAUAUCACCCAUUACCUUCCAUCAUUCUCCUUGAUUUACUUCAGCAACUAUUUUGGAAUGACUGUAAUGCCAAUUCUGGGUUAAAUCAAAUAGAAAUAUUCUAACUAUCUGAAAUUGCCACGCUCAUUUUACCUCAGCAUUCUCACUGUUCUGUGGCGCUUUUACAAGCAUGUCCCACACCUAUCCAGCUCUGUUUAGCCUUGAAAAGGUAUGAGUAAAAUUGCUGAAGGUCAUAUGGCUACUAUCCAUGCAUAGCUAAUCCUUUAUCGGAACAGAAGUGAAUUGCAAAGAUUAAAAUCUCAUGCUUAGAAAAGUUUUGAUGGUAGCCAAUCUGGAAACAACCAGAACAGAGUGAAAUAUCUGCUUGUGAAAUGAAGAUGAUUAUCUCUUUGCUUGCUUACUCUGAACUGGUGGAAGUACUGUAUGCUAAAAGCAUUAUUCAAAUCAAUGUUAAUUUAAUCUAAUCUGAUAUCUAGGUGUGAUCUGUCCUUUCUGUCUAGAGUCUAAGGGGAUUAAUGAAACUUUUAUUUGUCUAAAACUGGCACAGUCAGUACCAGGUUUAUUAUGGCUUACAUUUUUUGAUAGUAUAAAUAUCCAAGCCCCAUGGGGUCCACCCUUUGUGCACUGUAUCUUCUGAGUGCACUGAGGUGAUAUUCUGACCCUCAAAAUAGCUAACAGUCAUUCCAGUUUGACCCUGCCUGGAAUUAAAAUUAAGGAGAUGAUACAUUUAUUUUGAGAGAAAGACUGAGUAGAUCAAUCAUGACAGCUGUAAAACAAGCAGCAAAUGGUAGAAUGGCCAACAGAUUGUCCAUCAUCUUAAAAUAAGUAAAUAAAUAAGUAAAUAAAAGGCCUCUCAUCAUCUAAAAAGGUUAAAAUCGAGGGAACUGCAGCCUAGUCAGCCUCACUUUGGGCUCAAGGAAAUUAUGAAGUGAGUCAUCUGUGAACACACUUCUGGACACAUGAAAGAGAAGGUGGCUGGGAAGAGGCAGCAUGGAUUUAGCAAGGGUAAAUCUUGCCUGACCUUGAUAUUUCUAUGAUAAAAUGACUGGAUUAGUGGGCAAAGGAGAGUAGUGAAUGUCAUUUACCUCAUCUUUAGCAAACCUAAACUGAAAUUUAGUGCCAGGAAGUAGCAAGAACUUCUUAAAGAAGAAAGUUUUAGUGCACUUAAUUUCUGCUAAGCCAUUGUGGGAAAAAAAUCCAACAGUACAGUAUGGGGUCUAGGAAUCCAAAGACAAGUAUAAACCAUCUCUCUUAAUCUAAUAGAGAAAUAUUAGUGUGGCUUAUGAAAUUGCCCUGUAUAGUUCAUGGCUGGAUGAAGUCCUUUCGUUUUGUCAUUGUUACCAUAAUCAUGUGAGUUGCACCAAAUUCAGUGAUGAUCUAGAAAAAUCUGAGUCAGCACUAUUUGUGUGUCUAUGUGUAAAAGUAUGUGCAUAUUUGUAAACGUAUAUAUCUGUGAUGCACGUAUUGUUCAGUAAUGAAUUUGUGUUACAAGCAAUAAAAAGCAGUACUGACUGAG
rnacentral:lncRNA from 7 species